CGGUGCCGCAUGGAAGGCCGUCGCUCAACGGAUAAAGUUACUCUAGGAUAACAGGCUGAUCUCCCACAGUCACAUNUCGGAGGUUGGUGCCUCAUGUCGGCGUCAUCGCAACCUACGGGUCGGGAGGUAACGUUCCCAACGGGUUACGGGUCGUGUUCGUCCGACUUAAAGUACGGUACCGGUGAGCUGGGUUCGUAGAACGUACGUGAGACAGUUCGGUUCCGAUAUCCGGUGGCAGG
rnacentral:misc_RNA from 1 species